UAUCUGGUUGAUCCUGCCAGUAGUCAUAUGCUUGUCUCAAAGAUUAAGCCAUGCAUGUCUAAGUAUAAGCAAUUUAUACAGUGAAACUGCGAAUGGCUCAUUAAAUCAGUUAUCGUUUAUUUGAUAGUACCUUACUACUUGGAUAACCGUGGUAAUUCUAGAGCUAAUACAUGCUAAAAAUCCCGACUUUUUGGAAGGGAUGUAUUUAUUAGAUAAAAGACCAAUGCUUCUUCGGAAGCUCUUUGGUGAUUCAUGAUAACUUUUCGAAUCGCAUGGCCUCGAGCCGGCGAUGGUUCAUUCAAAUUUCUGCCCUAUCAACUUUCGAUGGUAGGAUAGUGGCCUACCAUGGUUUCAACGGGUAACGGGGAAUUAGGGUUCGAUUCCGGAGAGGGAGCCUGAGAAACGGCUACCACAUCCAAGGAAGGCAGCAGGCACGCAAAUUACCCAAUCCCGACACGGGGAGGUAGUGACAAUAAAUAACAAUACAGGGCUUUUUAUGGUCUUGUGAUUGGAAUGAGUACAAUUUAAAUACCUUAACGAGGAACAAUUGGAGGGCAAGUCUGGUGAAAUGCUGACGCCAGAGAUAGUGGGGUCCUUGGCAUCCACUGGCUAAGGAUUAGGCCCGCUAGUCGAGUGUUCACUAAAUAGUGGGCGAACACCGGCGAGGUAACCUGGAACGGGGAAGCCUAAGUUGCGUAAAGUAAUAUGGUGAUCCCGUGGCGAGUCGCUAAGACCGUCGUAACGCGCGGAAAGGUACCGGCUAGUUAACUAGCUCAAGGGACGUGCUAUUCCCACUCGAAAGAGUGUUUUCAACUGAAGCGCCCAUUACGCAAAAGUUGAGAAGAGUAUUUGCUCGGUAGUGAAAGGCCAGCAGCCGCGGUAAUUCCAGCUCCAAUAGCGUAUAUUAAAGUUGUUGCAGUUAAAAAGCUCGUAGUUGAACCUUGGGCUUGGUCGGCCGGUCCGCCUCAUUGGUGUGCACUGACCCGACCGAGCCUUUCCUUCUGGAUCACUAUAGUGCUUUUUAUUAAGUGCUAUAGGGAGCCAGGACUUUUACUUUGAAAAAAUUAGAGUGUUCAAAGCAGGCAUACGCUCGAAUAUAUUAGCAUGGAAUAAUAGAAUAGGACGUACGGUUCUAUUUUGUUGGUUCUCUAGGACCGUCGUAAUGAUUAAUAGGGACAGUCGGGGGCAUCAGUAUUCAAUUGUCAGAGGUGAAAUUCUUGGAUUUAUUGAAGACUAACUACUGCGAAAGCAUUUGCCAAGGAUGUUUUCAUUAAUCAAGAACGAAAGUUAGGGGAUCGAAGACGAUUUGAAAUUACGUAUGCGAGAGCAUGCGGUUAUCUGGUCGUCAACAGUGACCUGAAAGGGGAAGCUAGUCUUGACAAAGAUCAAGG
rnacentral:ncRNA from 1 species